CAUCUAGUGUCAAGAUGAGGAAAGCAGCCCAUUAGAACUCAAAGACACCAUUACGUUGCCGCAAUAUCUUACACCACGAAUAUUAGUUGUUGAAUGAAAGUAUAAUGGUUAGGUAAACAUAGCAAAAUUCUACAAUGCUAUCGAUGCAUAUGAAUAACUUGAAAUAAUGAAAGAACUACGUCCCAUAAUAUAACAACCUAACUUAGUGCAAAAAGGUAAAGGGUGUGCUGAGAGAGAUUUGUCAAGCAUUCGUAAGGUGAGAAAAAACUUUGCCCGCAAAAUAAAUUUAAAUUUAUAAUUUAUAAUUGAGUUAUUAACACCCAUAGUUAUCAGAUACAAUGGAUGGUUGUGGCUCUGAUGGAGUAUUUUGAUUCUUUGACUAUGGGUUUUGCAGCUCCAUCAUUCACCCGCCCAGAUACACUUUUGUUGGAAUUACCAGCAUCAAAACAAAAACUUUCUUUCUUGGCCUUCCUGCCCAUACUCUUUCUGUUUCUACCAUGGUUGUAUGAUUUAUCGUCCCUGCCCACUGAGUUACCUUCCACCAAAUUACAACUCUUGGCUUUUCUUGGUAAUUAAAGCUUUUAAACCAACAGUAACCAUACGCACCCUGGCAGCAAAGCUUACCUUCUAUAAGAUAAACCAAAAUAAACUCACAGUAUUGAAGAAGAGCAAUCAACUGAGCAACAUCAAAACCUAUCUUAAACCCUAACUGGAGUGGCAACAGAGCUU
rnacentral:lncRNA from 1 species